GACGAACGCUGGCGGCGUGCUUAACACAUGCAAGUCGAACGGAGUGGCGAACGGGUGAGUAACACGUGGGUGACCUGCCCUGCACUUCGGGGUAAGCCUGGGAAACUGGGUCUAAUACCGGAUAGUGUGGGAUGGGUCCGCGGCCUAUCAGCUUGUUUGUGUGGUAAUGGCCUACCAAGGCGGCGACGGGUAGCCGGCCUGAGAGGGUGGACGGCCAAAUUGGGACUGAGACACGGCCGAGACUCCUACGGGAGGCAGCAGUGGGGAAUAGUGCACAAUGGGCGGAAGCGUGAUGUAGCGGCGCCGUGUGGUGGAUGUCGGCCUUCUGGUUGGAAACUCCUUUCACCAUCGACGCGGUAGAUGGAGAAGAAGCACCGGCUCACUACGUGCCAGCAGCCGCGGUAAUAC
rnacentral:rRNA from 1 species